AUGCACCUGUGUGAAAUGUGGAUGUUGGGGCAGAGUUGGAUUAGCAUUAGCCAUGGACUUUGUAAAGAGUAUAUGUCCAUUUUGCCAAGACAAGGACUAAAAAAAAAUUCUACUUUUAACUUGUUGAAUCAUCAGUAUUUAUUUCCAGUCUGUCGAAAUAGAAAUCCACAUACAUGGUUAUACACAUUAGAAAGGAUCAUUAUGUCAUGUGCAAAAAUGAAUCGUGAUUCUGAGAGGAAAUGCCGUGUCACCCAAGUACCGUUUUUAGUUGAUUGUAUUCGUUUUAAACUUGCAUUGUAUGCAUUGCAUUGUAUUUGCAGUCCAAAUGAGUGA
rnacentral:rRNA from 1 species